rnacentral:rRNA from 1 species
GUCCACGCCGUAACGUUGGGCGCUAGGUGUGGGAACCUUCCACGUUCUCCGUGCCGUAGCUAACGCAUUAAGCGCCCGCCUGGGAGUACGGCCGCAAGGCUAAACUCAAGGAAUUGACGGGGCCCGCACAAGCGGCGGAGCAUGCGGCUUAAUUCGAUGCAACGCGAAGAACCUUACCUAGGCUUGACAUAUACCGAAACUCAUAGAGAUAUGGGGUCCGCAAGGGCGGUAUACAGGUGGUGCAUGGUUGUCGU